CAUUUGAAUGUCAAAGUUUACGAGUCACUCACAUGGGUUAAUAUAUUCAUACAAGAAUCAGUGAUCGAUUACCUUGUGUAAAAAUAUAUCAUCUCUAUUGCAAUUGUUCUAUCUCACGUUUUAUCCUCAUGUUAAAAAACCAUUAGCUAUUGUACAUUUUAUACUUUCAUAGUUUCAUUGCAAGUGUUUAUCAAUCUUUUUUUAGUUCUGCUUUUUACCAAUGGCCUGCAAAUAGAUCUUUAUUUGAAGUUUUUGCGCCUAAUAUAUCUUUUUUUUUUUGGUUUCAAAAUGGUGGUCGGGUGGGACUACCAUUCAGAGGCCGGGAGCAACAUGGGUAUGGCCAUCUUUUUAAGCAAAUGGAAAUCCCAUGGUUAUAUAUAUAUAUAUAUAUAUAUAUAUAUAUAUAUAUAUAUAUAUAUAUAUAUACGCACUAACGCAUCUUUCACCGUCUUGGCAUCUUGAAUUUCCGUGUUUGCUGUCUUUUUCUGAACGACGAGCAUUAAUUUGCAUAUAGUUUCUAAUAUAACCAUGUUUACUUUGUUUGACUAUCAAUGAAAAAGAGUUGUAAUUUUUCAUGGUUAGAAAGUAGAAGCAGGAUUACAAUUAGUGCUGUUCAACAUACAUGGGAGUUUUACUUCAGCAGCUUCUUAUGUUUAUCACCCCUCGUCCUGCAUCAUCUUACUUGACAACGUAGAUAUAUAUCACCCCUCGUCCUGCAUCAUCAGAUGAGUUUG
rnacentral:lncRNA from 1 species